CCUACGGGUGGCAGCAGUGGGGAAUAUUGCACAAUGGGGGAAACCCUGAUGCAGCGACGCCGCGUGAGGGAAGAAGUAAUUCGUUAUGUAAAGCUCUAUCAGCAGGGAAGAAAAUGACGGUACCUGAGUAAGAAGCCCCGGCUAACUACGUGCCAGCACCCGCUGUAAUAAGUAGGUGGCAAGCGUUAUCCGGAUUUACUGGGUGUAAAGGGAGCGUAGACGGCAGUGCAAGUCUGGAGUGAAAGGCGGGGGCUCAACCCCCGGACUGCUCUGGAAACUGUACGGCUGGAGUGCAGGAGAGGUAGGUGGAAUUCCUAGUGUCGCGGUGAAAUGCGUAGAUAUUAGGAGGAACACCAGUGGCGAAGGCGGCUUACUGGACUGUAACUGACGUUGAGGCUCGAAAGCGUGGGGAGCAAACAGGAUUAGAUACCCGUGUAGUC
rnacentral:rRNA from 1 species